UACGUAGGGGGCUAGCGUUGUCCGGAAUCACUGGGCGUAAAGCGCACGUAGGCGGAUUGCUAAGUCAGGGGUGAAAUCCUGGAGCUCAACUCCAGAACUGCCCUUGAUACUGGCGGUCUCGAGUCCGGGAGAGGUGAGUGGAACUGCGAGUGUAGAGGUGAAAUUCGUAGAUAUUCGCAAGAACACCAGUGGCGAAGGCGGCUCACUGGCCCGGUACUGACGCUGAGGUGUCGAAAGCGUGGGGAGCAAACAGGG
rnacentral:rRNA from 1 species